rnacentral:lncRNA from 1 species
GUGUCUUGUUUCUGCUACGUUUCUCAUACAAAUUGUCUCUGGAACUCUGCAUGGACAAAUGGGGAACUGGCUUGUUCCAGCUUUGACAAAUCGAAAUCAGCACUAUCUUGCUGUUACAACACUCGCUUGUACUACCAUCUAUUUUUGCAUAUCGAAGUUCAUACAAAAUGAUGGUAUAGAAUCAUCACAGUUUGCACAUAGGCAGGGGAACGGCAGGGGGUUCCUCCCAAGGCAAUGAAGACAUGCUUCCUCGGCUCUUUGCACGUGGAGAAUGCAUCGGCUGUGGGCCAGGGUGCCCUGAGCAUAUCCAGAUGCAAUGGGUAAUGUACAGUCGAUCUUUUCUGCAAGUCACAAGAGUAACCUCAUCACUCCCCGUGUUCACUGCCAUUUCUGAUCGUACAUAUAACAUGCAUUGCAUAUAUAGCUCAAGUGUUGCAUUGUUGCUGGUGUAUAUGUGCACAAUAUCAUAAUUUUGGUAUGUAUCUGCAAAAUAUCAUAAUCUUAGGUACAAAAACAUUCCUAGCAUGCUUGUGCAACUCAGCACCGAAGAAAAAUCACAAGGUAGAACAAAUGAAUUGCGUCCUAAUGACGCGAGCAAAAAACAGUUAUGCCUCUAGUGCUAUAACUGUGAUAUACCAAUUGGCUAUUGUUAUAUCCCAUAUAUUGUUGUCUUAUUUCUAGACGUUGUAGAAGAAAUUUAUCGUGAAUUUUCCUGUGGCGUCCGUUAUGCCAAACAAGUUCAGAUAGUUGUUUACUUGGGUUUGGACCUCUGAGUAGGAGAUGAACUAUGACUGACUUUUUGAUGAACUAUGCACUAUACAUGUGAAGUCUGCUAUUUAUCUGUUACCCAAUAAGCUUGUUUUCCAAAUCAAAAUGAGUGUGUAGAACUCUACGACAUCAAAUUUAUUUCGUCCCUCCUUGUAGGAGAAAUUUCAGCAUUUACAGUUCAAAUCAUCUUACUUUUCACAUAUUCAAAUUCUGCUAAUUAAAAUCAAUCCAAAAUGGUAGUACUAGGAUCAUGACAUACCUUGCACAUGGGUUGGGGUAGCAGAGAGGUGAGAGGGAAUGCAGGUGCGUCUGAGUGUUUCCUCCCGGGUUUCUUCACUAGGGCAAUGAGGAUGGCAUCCCGCUUGGGCUUCCUCAGCUCUUUGUUCGCAGAGAACACGUCGGCUGUGGGCCAGAAUGCCCUAGGAAGAUCCAGAUGCAAUCGGUAAUGUACAAUCAAUCUUUUCUGCAAGUCACAAGAUGUAACCUCAUCAGCCCCUGUGUUCACCUGCUAUUUCUGAUCGUACCUAUAACAUGCAUUGUAUAUAGCUCAAGAGUUGCAUUGUUGCUAGUGUAUAUGCGCACAAUAUCAUAAUUUUGGUGUAUAUCUGCAAAAUAUCAUAAUCUUAGGUACAAAAACAUUCCUAGCAUGCUUGUGCAACUUGGCACCAAGGAAAAAUGAUAAAGCUAUACCAAAUGAAUUGUGUCCUAUUGACGUGAGCAAAAACAGUUACGCCUUUAGUGCCUAUAACUGUGAUAUAGCAAUUGGCUAUUGUUAUACAUGUGUGGUCAGGAUAUAUUGUCGUCUUAUUUCUACACGUUGUAGAAGAAAAGAAAAUUAAAGUGAAUUUUCCUGUGGCAUCCUUUAUUCCAACCAAUUUCAGAUAGUUGUUUACUUGAGUUUGGACCUCUGAGUCGAAGAUGAACUAUGCACUAUACAUGUCAGCUCUGCUAUUUAUCUGUUACACGAUAAGCUUGUUCUCAAAUCAGAAUGAAUAUGUAGAACUCUACGACAUCAAAUAUAUUUCUUCUCUCAUUGUAGGAGAAACUGGUUUGUUUCAUAUUUGAUAAAUCAAAAUCAGCUAUUAUCUUGCUGCUGCUACACUUGAUUAUACAAAAUUUCACCAUUUACAGUUCAAAUCAUCUUAGCUUUCACAUAUUCAAAUUCUCAUAAUUGAAAUUAAUCCAAAAUGAUAGUACUAGAAUCAUGGCAUACCUUGCACAUGGGUUGGGCUAGCAGAUAGGCGAGAGGGAAUGCAGGUGCAUCACAGUGUUUCCUCCCAGAGUUUCUUCACUAGGCAACGAGGAUGGCAUCCCGCUUGGGCUUCCUCAGCUCUUUGCUCGUAGAGAACACGUCAGCUUUGGGCUAGAGUGCCAAUCGGUAAUGCACAAUCAAUCUAUUCUGCAAGUCACACGAUGUAACCUCAUCAGCCUAGCACCUUAGACCCGCCCCAAUCUACACUAGUAAGUAGUAGGCACAAAAAAUAGGUAGAUGAUAAUACAAUGGUAGUGAACAGAACUGCUAGAGAUAUCUUCCAUCAACAAUGGCACCGAGUCUUGCUAGUUUUAAAAACAAAACAUCAGCAGCAUUUAUCACUUACAGGCAGUAAAAGGAGUGUAGGCUCCAGAAAUUCAAGAAAUAACUGCUUGAUUACUUAUAUGCAUGUAAAUAAGCUAGUGUUUCAUGGCAAAAAUAAGCUAGUUGCAUAUAUUAAUGAAUAGGACGGAAAAAUGGCUGCAGAUGGGGCUUCAGCCACCUGUGCUGGAUCUCACAGGCAGCAGUGUGUGUCGUACCAUCUCAUCAUCCUCAUCUAUUGUCGUACCAUCUCCUCAGCCUCAAAUCAUCUAGUUAUUAUGUCAGCGAAGCUGUUCCCAUUGCAACCUCCGCCCAGUUCCUUCACUCGACAUGGCCUCGCUCCCUGGUAAGAGAGGGGGGAAAGGACAUUAUAUUACCAUACAGGCAGUAAAAAAGAAGUGUACAGACAAGAAAAUCAGGGAAGAAUUGCUUGAUUACUUGUGUGCAUGUAAAUAAGCUAAUAAAGCUUCAUGGCCAAAAUAUAAGUUAGUAGCAUCUUAUUGAAUAGGGAGCGGGAAUAGGUACAAAUGGGGCUUCAGCCGUCUGUACAGAUGGGGCAUUAGCAGUAUCAAAAUGAAUAUUUAGAAUUCUAUGACAUCAAAUUUAUUUCUCUUCCCCCUGUAGCAGAAACUGGCUUGUCUCAUCUUUAAUAAAUCAGAAUCAGGUAUUAUCUUGCUGCUGCUACACCUGAUUAUAUGAAAUUUCACCUUUUAUAAUUCAUAUCAACUAUUUUCACAUAUGCAAAUUCUGAUAAUAAGAAUUAAUCCAAAAUGAUAGUCCUAGAAUCAUGACAUACCUCCUUGCACAUGGGUCGGCGUAGCAGACAGGCGAGAGAGAAUGCCAGGUGCAUCGUACGAGUGUUUCCUCCCAAGGUUUCUUCAGUAGGGCAAUGAGGAUGGCAUCUUGCUCGUGCUUCCUCUUUGCUCAUGGUGAAAGUGUCGGCUAUGGGCCAGAGUGCCCUGGGCAAAUCCAGAUGCAUUUGAUAAUGUAUCAAUCAAUCUUUUAUGCAAGUCACAAGAUGUAGCCUCGCCAGUCUAGGGCCUAGAUCCACCCCAAUUUACACUAGUAUAAGAAGUAGUGCCAAAAAAAGGGAGUAGAUGAUAAUAAAAAUGCAAUGGUAGUGAACACAACUACUACAAAUAUCUUCCAUCAACAUAUAUUGAGUCUAAUUAUUACAUUUGUGAUUGUCCGUCCCUAUAACAUGUAUUGCACAUAGCAUUUAUAUACUCAUCUCAUGACAGUUUGGCAUUUGUCUGUCCAAGAAGUGCAUGCAUAUGAAGUGUUGCACUGUUACUGGUAUGUAUUGUCCAAAAUACCAUAAUCUUGGUGUGUAUGUGCAAAAUACCAUAAUUUCAGGAAGAAAAAACAUUCCUAGCAUGCUUGUGCAACUCCGUACCGAGGAAGAAUGAUAAGGCUAAAACAAAUGAAUUGUGUCCUAUUGAUGUGAGCAAAAAUAGUUAAGCCUCUAGUGCUAUGACUGGUAUACCAAUUGGCUAUUUUAUACAUUUGUGUCGUAAUAUAUUGUUUUGUGUUAUUUCUGCAUGUUGGCAUUCGUUAUGCCAACCAAGUUCAGAUAGCAGUUCUUUAGUUGGGUUUGGCACUCCGAGUAGGAGAUGAACUAUACACUGCAUUUGAAGUCCAUCUGCAUCUGUUACCGAAUGAAUAAAAUGUGACAGUGGAUGUUCAGCUUUUUAUAUUUCCCCCGCUAAUUAUGAAGCUAGGUGGUCAUUAUGGCACGGCUCUCAGUUAUAUAAGGAUGAACUGCAAAAUAUUAUCACACAUAUACCUUCUACAUUUCUGUCCAAUAAGCUUGUUUUCCGAAUCAAGAUGAGUAUUAGAACUCUGCGACAAAAAAAUUAUUUCUCCUCUAGUUGGUAGAAGAAACUGGCUUGUUUCAUACUGUAUUAAAUAAAUCAAAAUCGGCCAUUAUCUUGCUGCUGCUACACUUGAUUAUAUGAAAUUUUACCUUCUACAAUUCAAAUAAUAUAUUUUUCACACAUUCAAUUCUGAUAAUUAAUAUUAAACCAAAAUGAUAGCCCUAGAAGGCUAGAAUCAUGACAUACCUUCCUUGCACACGGGUCGGCGUAGCAGAUAGGCGAGAGGGAAUACCAGGUUUCCUGCAAAGGUUUCUUCACUAGGGCGACGAGGAUGGGAUCUCACUCAGGCUUCCUCACCUAUUUGCUCAUGGAGAAUGUGGGGCCAGAGUGCCCUAGGCAUAAUCCAGAUGGAAUCGAUGAUGUACAAUCAGUCUUUUCUGCAAGUGGUAGGCACACAAAAAAAGGAGUACUCCCUCCGUCCCAUAAUAUAAGAACGUUUUUUACACUACACUAGUGUCAGUAGAUGAUAACACGUUGGUAGCGAACAUAACUGCUAAAAACAUCUGCCUUCAUUCACUCUACUUGCCUACCGGCAUGAUCUCUAGUACGAUGUGAGCCUUGAGGCUUCCAAUGCUAAAAUUUGGAACUGAAAACUUGGAACUUUUCAGUAGUUUCAGAGUUGAUCUGCUCCCUGUUGACUCUGUUGUUCUGAUGAAGUGAGGUGCUUGGUUGCAACCUCGGCCUGGCUCCCCCACCCGACAUGCCUUGCUCCCUGGUACAAGGGGGGAAAUGAAGACAUUAUAUCGCAGUAACAAAGAAGUGUGCAGGGAAGAAUUGCUUGAUUACUUAUAAGGUAGAGUUUCAUGGCCAAAAUAAGUUGGUGGCAGCAUAAUGAGCAGACUCACCAGUCUCAUCUACACCCUGAUAGAGGGCAAAAGAAGAUACACAAACAUCACAAAAGGGACGGAAAUUCACCAAAACAACCGGGUCUGUCUAACGGAUUGAGAAAAGAAGAGAGAUUUACUGGCGCACCAACAUGAACCAUACAGUGAGAAAGAUUCAAUCUUUAUCGGCCAGACAAACGAGGUGACACUCGUGGGGUGGGAAAAAACCUAAAUAAGUAGUAGAUUCAGGAGAUUGAGACAAAGGCCGAGGAAAUUUGCAAGAUCCAGCAGGCGAAUUGCAGUCCGUGGGGGAGGCCAGGAAAUUCACUCACCAAUCACAACAGGCAAAUUCAUCAUCUGCUAAGAUUGAGGAGCAAGACAAAUUGACACCCAUCACAACUCCGUAGACCGAGAUGUGGCCAAAGGAGAUGUCCAUGGCGGCUUAGGGUUGGUGCGGAUGGCCAAAGGAGUUGUGCAUGGCGGCUAGGGUUGGUGCGGAUUGGGACUCAGCAACAGGGAGGGGAAAACACAAGAAGAAACGAACUAUG